AUUGAACGCUGGCGGCAGGCCUAACACAUGCAAGUCGAGCGAGCGGCGGACGGGUGAGUAAUGUAUGGGGACUGCCCGAAAGAGGGGGAUAACUACUGGAAAAGGUAGCUAAUAACGCAUACUAUCGGAUAACCCAUAUGGGAUUAGCUAGUAGGUGAGGUAAUGGCUCACCUAGGCGACGAGCCCUAGAUGGUCUGAGAGGAUGAUCAGCCACACUGGGACUUAGACACGGCCCAGACUCCUACGGAGGCAGCAGUGGGGAAUAUUGCACAAUGGGCGCAAGCCUGAUGCAGCAAUGCCGCGUGUAUGAAGAAGGCCCUAGGGUUGUAAAGUACUUUCAGUCGGGAGGCGUUACCGACAGAGGAAGCACCGGCUAACUCCGUGCCAGCCGCCGCGGUAAUUC
rnacentral:rRNA from 1 species